rnacentral:rRNA from 1 species
AUUAAAAUUAAUAAAAAUAAUUUUAAAAAUUUAUUUUUUAGUAUAAGGUAUAGAAAAAAUUUUAUUUAUUAUAGUGAAAUAGUAUUGUGAAAGAAUAUUGAAAUAUAAUUUAAUUAUUUAAAAGUAGAAUUUAUUUUUUGUACCUUGUGUAUCAGGGUUUAUUUAAUAUAAAUUAAUUAAAUUAAUUUUCUCGAUUUUAAGAGAGCUAAUAUAUUAUUUUUUUUAUUGUAGAAUAAAUAUUUAUAAUAAUUUAUUAGUAAUGAAACGUUAUUCGUUCUUAAAUGUAUCUAGUUUAUUUAGAAAUGAAUUUAAUUCAGAUAUUUUAAUUUUAAUAGUUUAAUUUGUUAAAUUAUUAAAUUUUAAUAUUAAUAAUUAAAGGGAUUAGCUUUUAAUUAAAAAUUUAUAAAUUAAAAAUUUUAUUUAAGAAAUGUAAGUUUAGAAAUAUCUAUCAUUAAUAAUUUGUUAUAAUUAAUUUAAUUUAAAAUAUUAUUUUAUAUGAUUUUAAAUUUUUUAUAAAUAAAUAAUUUUUAAUUUUUAAAAAUUAGAUAUAAUGAUAAAAUUAGUAUAUUUUAAAUAUUUAAAUAAUAUUAAUUAAAAGAUUAUUUAAAGGAAUUCGGCAAAUAUUUUACUCGCCUGUUUAACAAAAACAUGUCUUUUUGAUAUAUAUAUAAAGUCUAGCCUGCCCAAUGAAUUUAUUUUAAUGGCUGCAGUAAAUUGACUGUACAAAGGUAGCAUAAUCAUUAGUUUUUUAAUUAAAAGCUUGUAUGAAAGGUUGGACGAGGUAAAAUCUGUCUCUAUUUAAUUUAUUAUAGAAUUUAAUUUUUAAGUUAAAAAGCUUAAAUAAUUAUAAAAGACGAGAAGACCCUAUAGAGCUUUAUAUUUUAUUGAAUAUAAUUAAUUAAGAUGUAUAAAAGUUUUAUUUAAUAAAUUAUUUUAUUGGGGUAAUAGAGAGAUUAAUAAAAUUCUUUUUGUUUAUUAACAUUAAUUUAUGAUUUAAUGAUCCAUUAUUAUUGAUUAAAAGAUUAAGUUACCUUAGGGAUAACAGCGUAAUUUUUUUAAAGAGUUCAUAUCGAUAAAAAAGUUUGCGACCUCGAUGUUGGAUUAAAGAUUAGUUUAGGUGCAGAAGUUUAAAUUUUUGGUCUGUUCGACCAUUAAAUCUUUACAUGAUCUGAGUUCAGACCGGUGUAAACCAGGUCGGUUUCUAUCUUUAUUAAAUUAAAAUAUUUUAGUACGAAAGGACCAAUUAUUUAAUAUAUUUAUAUUUAUGUUUUGAAUAUU